rnacentral:rRNA from 1 species
UGAGGAAUAUUGGUCAAUGGGCGAGAGCCUGAACCAGCCAAGUCGCGUGAGGGAAGACGGCCCUACGGGUUGUAAACCUCUUUUGUCGGGGAGCAAAGACUGCCACGCGUGGCAGGAUGAGAGUACCCGAAGAAAAAGCAACGUCUAACUCCGUUCCAGCAGCCGCGGUAAUACGGAGGAUGCGAGCGUUAUCCGGAUUUAUUGGGUUUAAAGGGUGCGCAGGCGGACCGGAAAGUCAGCGGUAAAAAUGCGGGGCUCAACCCCGUCGAGCCGUUGAAACUGUCGGUCUAGAGUGAGCGAGAAGUAUGCGGAAUGCGUAGUGUAGCGGUGAAAUGCAUAGAUAUUACGCAGAACUCCGAUUGCGAAGGCAGCAUACCGGCGCUCAACUGACGCUCAGGCACGAAAGCGUGGGUAUCGAACAGG